rnacentral:misc_RNA from 1 species
AAAGCACAAAACUCUUUCUUUAACUCUGGUAUCCAUGCAAACCACGAAGCCUCAUGCAGCACUAUUGGCGAGCCCUGGCAUGGGGCACUUCAUCCCUGUCCUAGAGCUAGGCAAACGCCUGGUAAGUGAACAUGGCUUCAAUGCCACAGUCUUUGUGGUCACGACCGAUACCUCACUCUCCCAAUCCCAGCUUCUCAAAAAAUCACAUCCUAUUCCCAAACUACUUGAUAUUGUCCUGCUACCACUAGUGGACAUUUCUACCCUAAUCAACCCAACGACUGGGAUCCUAGCACAACUUGCCAUCGCGAUGCGUCAAGCUUUACCAAGCUUGCGCCAGGCAAUAUCAGCCAUGAAGUUUUGCCCAACCGCUCUUAUUGUUGAUAUUUUUGGAACUGAAGCUUUCGCCAUUGCUGAAGAGCUUAACAUGCUCAAAUACGUGUUUAUCACUUCCACUGCAUGGUUUCUUGCUCUAACCAUACACCUGCCUACCCUUGAUGCUAAGGUGGUGGAAGAGGAGCACGUUAGGAACCACGAGGCGCUAAUGAUUCCUGGGUGCAGCCCAGUUCGGUUUGAGGACACCUUUGAACCGGUACUAGACCGAAAUAAUCAGAUGUACAUCGAGUACAUACGCAUGGGGUUUGAGAUGCCGACGGCUGACGGUAUUUUGGUGAAUACAUGGCAGGAUCUUGAGCCCAAAACGCUUGGUGCACUUGGAGACAAAAGGCAGCUUGGAUGGGUGGCUCAGGCGCCUGUCUACCCAGUUGGGCCACUGGUCAGACCCGUCAAACCCGGUUCGAGUAGUGACGUGUUGGGUUGGCUGGAUAUGCAACCCCAACAGUCGGUUGUUUAUGUUUCAUUUGGGAGUGGCGGGACACUUUCAGCCAAGCAAACAACUGAACUGGCAUGGGGUUUGGAGUUGAGCGAGCAGAGAUUUAUUUGGGUAGUACGGCCUCCCGUGGAGGACGAUGCAGCUGCUGCAAUUUUCAAGACAGGCCAUAGGAGUGAUAACACUCCAGAUUUUCUGCCUGAUGGAUUCCUGACGCGGAACCAAAAGAAGGGUCUGGUGGUCCCAAUGUGGGCACCCCAAACUGAGAUCUUGAGCCACCCAUCAGUGGGUGGAUUCUUGUCACACUGUGGUUGGAACUCAACCCUGGAGAGUAUAGUAAAUGGGGUACCCAUGAUUGCUUGGCCACUAUAUGCAGAGCAGAGGAUGAACGCUACAAUGCUCACGGAGGAUAUUGGGGUGGCUGUUCGGUUGAAGUCAACGCCACCAGUAGCGGUGGGCAGGGAGGAGAUAGAGACAACGAUUAGACAAGUAAUGGAGGACAAAGGUGAUGCGAUAAGGGCUAGAGCAAAGACACUAAAGUCAAGUGCUGAGAAGGCUUUGAGUAAGGGUGGCUCCUCAAAUAAUUCACUUUCUUAUGUGGCAAAUGACUGUGAGAUUAGGUUGAGGUACAUUAAAACAAAGGCUGAAGGAGCUUAGAAGAAGAAAAAUGUCCUCCAUUCUCUGGUACCCUUUGAUUUCCUAGUGCCAAUAACAAGAAGGAUGUUGUACUUCCUCUUAAUGAAUAAAGACUUG